GACGAACGCUGGCGGCGUGCUUAACACAUGCAAGUCGAACGGAAAGGCCCUGCUUUUGUGGGGUUCUCGAGUGGCGAACGGGUGAGUAACACGUGAGUAACCUGCCCUUGACUUUGGGAUAACUUCAGGAAACUGGGGCUAAUACCGGAUAGGAUCUCCUGCUGCAUGGUGGGGGUUGGAAAGUUUCGGCUGUUGGGGAUGGACUCGCGGCUUAUCAGCUUGUUAGUUGGGUAGUGGCUUACCAAGGCUUUGACGGGUAGCCGGCCUGAGAGGGUGACCGGCGACAUUGGGACUGAGAUACGGACCAGAGUCCUACGGGAGGCAGCAGUGGGGAAUAUUGCACAAUGGGCGGAAGCCUGAUGAAGCAACGCCGGGUGCGGGAUGACGGCCUUCGGGUUGUAAAAAGCUUUAGCCUGUGACGAAGCGUGAGUGACGGUAAUGGGUAAAGAAGCACCGGCUAACUACGUG
rnacentral:rRNA from 1 species